GUCUAUGGCUGUGCCACCCUGAGCAAGCCUGUUCCCAUCUGAUCUUGGAAGCUAAGCAGGGUUGGGCUUGGUUAGUAUUUGGAUGGGAGACCACCUAGGAAGACCAGGUGCUGUAGGCA
rnacentral:rRNA from 1 species